CGAGGCCAGGGGCGAGCGCUGAGGGCCGGCCGGGCAGCCCCCGGACACGGGCACGGGCAGCCGCGCCCCCUCCUCCGCCCUCCCGGGCUGGGCUCUAGGACGCGGGGGCCGAGCAGCGGCAGUCCGCCGGUCCGUCGGUCAGUCCGUCCGUCUGCCCGUCGCAGGCUGCAGCGCACGGUCACCCCCAGCCCACACCUCGGCCUCCCGCAGCGCAGCCCAGCCUUGCCCAGCCUGCCUAGUCCGCUCCGGCCCCGCUCCCUGGGCUCUAGCAGCCGCCGCCGCCGCCGCCGCCGCCGCCGCCGCCGCCGUGUCCGAGGCCCCGCCCCGGCCGGGCCGCGAGCGCUGAUUGGUCUCUGCACGGGAACAAAGAACUUUUCCCCAAAACAGGAAGCAUGGAGUAGUGAGUAGAGGGUGCACGCAGGAGGCAGCAAGUCUUGGAGUCAAGCCCCAUCACGGAUCCAUGUUGGCUACGUCACCCCAGGCACACGGAAAUUCUCAGUAGCCUGGACUUGCCACGGACUUAGCAAGUCAUAAAUGCUUUAUCUAUGUGUUCAGUGCACUUAGACCAGAAAUUGUUGAAAAGGGGCUGACCUGCAUUAGUAUCAGGAGUUUCCUCAUCCAGGAAUUUUCUACGCUAAUGAAAUCCAGUUCCUAUCUCUGCUUGCUAUCCCUAACCUUCAUUUCCCUUUGAAAUUCUAAUUAGCUAAUUGAUCAUUGCUCUACCUCCUACGCUGGCCCAGAGUUCCGAGAGAGCCACACAGGCCUACCCAAGGGAAAAAUAUCCUUUGAGCUGUAGCUACAGUGACCAGAGCAGCAGCACCCCACCCCCCACGGGGGAAACCCAGCCAGUGGCAGAAAGUUCUGCAUCCUCGUUUUGGGCUGGAUUGAAUACAAGACAGGACUGGUGAUAUGUGAUACAUUUUCAUUUGGAAAGACAAGCAUAGGAUUACAGUAACAUUGUUCUCUUUUCAUGAGCCUCAGUUGGCCAGUAAUGUCAUCCUUCUCCUCUGCCAUUUCUUCUGACAACCUUUUCAUGUUAAUUAUUCAGAAGAACCCCAAGCCUUUGCACGGAGUCACUGUGAGUGUUAGAUUCAGUUAGCCUCUCGGCUGAAUAAAUUCUUAUAGGUAUUAAAAUAGGAAGUCA
rnacentral:lncRNA from 1 species